rnacentral:rRNA from 1 species
AGCGAACGCUGGCGGCAGGCCUAACACAUGCAAGUCGAACGAAGUCUUCGGACUUAGUGGCGGACGGGUGAGUAACACGUGGGAACGUGCCUUUAGGUUCGGAAUAACUCAGGGAAACUUGUGCUAAUACCGAAUGUGCCCUUCGGGGGAAAGGUUUAUCGCCUUUAGAGCGGCCCGCGUCUGAUUAGCUAGUUGGUGAGGUAAAGGCUCACCAAGGCGACGAUCAGUAGCUGGUCUGAGAGGAUGAUCAGCCACAUUGGGACCGAGACACGGCCCAAACUCCUACGGGAGGCAGCAGUGGGGAAUCUUGCGCAAUGGGCGAAAGCCUGACGCAGCCAUGCCGCGUGAAUGAUGAAGGUCUUAGGAUUGUAAAAUUCCUUCACCGGGGACGAUAAUGACGGUACCCGGAGAAGAAGCCCCGGCUAACUUCGUGCCAGCCGCCGCCGUAACAC